rnacentral:rRNA from 1 species
UACGUAGGGUGCAAGCGUUAAUCGGAAUUACUGGGCGUAAAGCGUGCGCAGGCGGUAAUGUAAGUCAGAUGUGAAAUCCCCGGGCUCAACCUGGGAACUGCAUUUGUGACUGCAUUGCUGGAGUGCGGCAGAGGGGGAUGGAAUUCCGCGUGUAGCAGUGAAAUGCGUAGAUAUGCGGAGGAACACCGAUGGCGAAGGCAAUCCCCUGGGCCUGCACUGACGCUCAUGCACGAAAGCGUGGGGAGCAAACAGG